GCAAGUCGAACGGUAAGGCCCUGCUUGCAGGGUACACGAGUGGCGAACGGGUGAGUAACGCGUACACUACCUACCUCUAAGAGAGGGAUAGCCCUGGGAAACUGGGAUUAAUACCUCAUGGUAUUGCGAUUUAACUAUUCAAUUAAAGCUCCGGCGCUUAGAGAUGGGUGUGCGUCCUAUUAGCUAGUUGGUAAGGUAACGGCUUACCAAGGCGACGAUAGGUAGGGGGCGUGAGAGCGUGAUC
rnacentral:rRNA from 1 species